GCGAGAGUGGCGGAAUUGGCAGACGCGCUAGACUUAGGAUCUAGUGCCGCAAGGUGUGGGGGUUCGAGUCCCCCCUCUCGUACCA
rnacentral:tRNA from 1 species